ensembl:lncRNA
CGUUUCCUAUUGUUGCUGUGACAAAUUACUACCAACCUCGUGACUUAACACAAUGGCUUUAUUCUCUCACCCUUCUGAAGGUCAGAUGUCUGCAUAGGUCUCAUAGGGGUAAAAUCAAGGCGUUGGCAGGGCUGUGUUUCUCCUGGAGCCUCUGGGGGACAAUUUGUUUUCAGCUUCUAGAUGCUACCUGCAGCCACCUGCUCAUGGCCUUCUUCCUCCACCUUCAAAGCCAGCAACGGCCCGUGGAGUCUUUCUCAUGAUGCCUUCUCUCUGGAUCCUUGUGAUCACGUCGGGCCCACCCAAGUAAUCCAGGGCUGUUCUCUACCAGCGCUCUGGCCUGACGUUCAGGGCCCUUCGUUCUCUGACUCCACUGUAUCAUCCACUGCCACCUUCUCCUGUGACGCGAGGUGACCUUGCUCUCAUCACAUUGCUCUCCUUGUUGCCCUAAGAAUGCACACACUUGUUCAUUCACCCGUGUUUAUCAUUCAUUCAUUCCUCAUCCAUUGAACGCCUACCAUUGCCAGGCCCGGACCAGGCUCUGCGAACACAAGGGCAGUUAGAACCCAAUCCCCUCCUUGAUGGGUUUCUAGUCCAGUCCAGCAGUCCCUGCCCUUGUCGUGCCAUGGCACAAAUGAUGGAGGAUUGUUCACUCCUUGUUUGGCCUGCUGGCUAUAAUCCCAGGCACACCCUCUCCUUCCUUCCCCUCUUAAGAGAGAAGACCAGAAGGCCAGUGAGUGAGAACACUAUUGUUCGAGAGAAAUUUUCUAAGUCACAGAAAAUUAUCUUUAAGAUACAUGAUCGGCAAACUUCCAUAUAAGUAGUAAAUGACAUGGGUCACGCUAAUGUGCCUCACAGGUAGGAACCUGUAAUUUAGUGGCUCAUGUGGCCCUGCUUGCCUGUACUCCCUUUUUUAUUUAAGUGAACACUGGAGCUUCGACUAGUCCUCAUUUUCCCAAAGAGAAGAAAAGCAACUCAGCGAUAAGGAAGCCCGCACCCUUUUGAGGAGAGAACUUGCCAUCCGAUCUUUCACCUUCAAGUCUUUGAGUCAAUACCAUAAAAGUAUAAAGGAGCCGGGAGUAUCAGCCUUAAGAAGGGAGUGCUGGAAAGAAAGUAACAGGAGUCACCUGUCUGAGGGGAGAGAUUUACUCCAUUGGUUCCAAGGAAAUCGUGUCAUCCAGAGGAAGCUGCAAAAGGUGGAUUCACACCGGCGUGACUCAGUCCCCAAAGCGAUGUGCUCAAAAUAGCACUGGGUGAGGAAACCCUUGUUGGCCAGGGACGGAACCCCAGCACAAAGGAGCUCAUCAGGACGAGAAAGGGGGGAACGUAACAAUGCCUGAAGAAGCCAGGGGUAGAGUGACUUCAGUCACCGCUGGAUUACCCUGCCCCCCCCCCCCCACCUGCUCUUGCGGUGGAGAAGUGAGCCGCUGGUGUCCCAGUUAUAGCCAUAGCUCAGCAUUAGCCACCCCUUGGAUGAGAGCAGUGUCAUUCACAGUGGCUGUAGCACACCCCAGGGAUUGACUUUCACGGACCCCAACUCUGUGACCUGGGAGAAUGGCGCUGAUUCCUGAGAAGGAGUCACAGGCUGCCCCUAAAAUGGGGGUU